UACGGAGGGUGCAAGCGUUAUCCGGAUUCACUGGGUUUAAAGGGUGCGUAGGCGGCUUGUUAAGUCAGUGGUGAAAGCCCUCGGCUCAACCGAGGAAUUGCCGUUGAAACUGGCAGGCUUGAGUACAGUUGAAGUGGGUGGAAUAUAUCAUGUAGCGGUGAAAUGCUUAGAUAUGAUAUAGAACGCCAAUUGCGAAGGCAUCUCACUAAGCUGUAACUGACGCUGAGGCACGAAAGCGUGGGGAGCAAACAGG
rnacentral:rRNA from 1 species